CCUACGGGAGGCAGCAGUGAGGAAUAUUGGUCAAUGGACGCAAGUCUGAACCAGCCAAGUAGCGUGCGGGAUGAAUGCCCUAUGGGUUGUAAACUGCUUUUGUACGGGGAUAAAAUUCUCCACUUGUGGAGUUUUGCAUGUACCGUGUGAAUAAGGACCGGCUAAUUCCGUGCCAGCAGCCGCGGUAAUACGGAAGGUCCGAGCGUUAUCCGGAUUUAUUGGGUUUAAAGGGAGCGUAGGCGGGCGCUUAAGUCAGGUGUGAAAUUUCGCGGCUCAACCGUACCAUUGCAGUUGAUACUGGUGGGCUUGAGUUCACCACAGGCAGGCGGAAUUCGUGGUGUAGCGGUGAAAUGCUUAGAUAUCACGAAGAACCCCGAUUGCGAAGGCAGCCUGCCGGAGUGCAACUGACGCUGAGGCUCGAAGGUGCGGGUAUCAAACAGGAUUAGAUACCCGAGUAGUC
rnacentral:rRNA from 1 species